rnacentral:rRNA from 1 species
GGUUGAUCCUGCCAGUAGUCAUAUGCUUGUCUCAAAGAUUAAGCCAUGCAUGUCUCAGUGUAAACUUUUAAACAGUGAAACUGCGAAUGGCUCAUUAAAACAGUUAUAGUUUAUUUGAUAUUCAUUGCUACAUGGAUAACCGUGGGAAUUCUAGGGCUAAUACAUGCGUAAAAACCCGACUUACGAAGGGUUGUGUUUAUUAGAUUAAAAGCCAUCACCACGCUUGCGUGGAAUUGUUGGAAUGAUAAUAACCGAACGAAUCGCGUACCUUUGGUGCGAUAGAUCAUUCAAGU